rnacentral:rRNA from 1 species
GACGAACGCUGGCGGCGUGCCUAAUACAUGCAAGUAGAACGCUGAAGGAGGAGCUUGCUUCUCUGGAUGAGUUGCGAACGGGUGAGUAACGCGUAGGUAACCUGCCUGGUAGCGGGGGAUAACUAUUGGAAACGAUAGCUAAUACCGCAUAAUAGUAGAUGUUGCAUGACAUUUGCUUAAAAGGUGCAAUUGCAUCACUACCAGAUGGACCUGCGUUGUAUUAGCUAGUUGGUGGGGUAACGGCUCACCAAGGCGACGAUACAUAGCCGACCUGAGAGGGGGAUCGGCCACACUGGGACUGAGACAAGGCCCAGACUCCUACGGGAGGCAGCAGUAGGGAAUCUUCGGCAAUGGACGGAAGUCUGACCGAGCAACGCCGCGUGAGUGAAGAAGGUUUUCGGAUCGUAAAGCUCUGUUGUAAGAGAAGAACGAGUGUGAGAGUGGAAAGUUCACACUGUGACGGUAUCUUACCAGAAAGGGACGGCUAACUACGUG